rnacentral:misc_RNA from 1 species
GAUGAAGAACGUAGCGAAAUGCGAUACGUAAUGUGAAUUGCAGAAUUCAGUGAAUCAUCGAGUCUUUGAACGCACAUUGCGCCCCCUGGUAUUCCGGGGGGCAUGCCUGUCCGAGCGUCAUUGCUGCCCUCAAGCCCGGCUUGUGUGUUGGGUCUCGUCCCGCUUCCCGGGGGGACGGGCCCGAAAGGCAGCGGCGGCACCGCGUCCGGUCCUCGAGCGUAUGGGGCUUUGUCACCCGCUCUGUAGGCCCGGCCGGCGCUUGCCGAUCAACCAAAACUUUUUUCCAGGUUGACCUCGGAUCAGGUAGGGAUACCCGCUGAACUUAAGCAUAUCAAUAAGCGGAGGA